UUUUAUAAAACGAUUCUAAGUUCUGUCGCAUAUGCCGACAGCUAAGAGGGAAACAGGUGUGAGUCCUGUACAGUCGUGCUACUGUAAAUGUGUAGUUUUACUCCAUAUCCAUUGCAGAAUUGUGAGAAGGCGGAGGCAAGACGUUACUGCAUAAGUCAGGAGACCUGCUUAGAGUUACUUCCAUUU
rnacentral:ncRNA from 2 species